GGUGCGGUAGCUCAGGUGGUAGAGCAAUGGACUGAAAAUCCAUGUGUCGGCGGUUCGAAUCCGCCCCACACCA
rfam:Lyngbya confervoides BDT141951 scaffold_21, whole genome shotgun sequence.